UAAUACGGAGGGUGCAAGCGUUAAUCGGAAUUACUGGGCGUAAAGCGCACGCAGGCGGUUUGUUAAGUCAGAUGUGAAAUCCCCGGGCUCAACCUGGGAACUGCAUUUGAAACUGGCAAGCUAGAGUCUCGUAGAGGGGGGUAGAAUUCCAGGUGUAGCGGUGAAAUGCGUAGAGAUCUGGAGGAAUACCGGUGGCGAAGGCGGCCCCUGGACGAAGACUGACGCUCAGGUGCGAAAGCGUGGGGAGCAAACAGGAUUAGAUACCCUGGUAGUCCACGCUGUAAACGAUGUCGAUUUGGAGGUUGUGCCCUUGAGGCGUGGCUUCCGGAGCUAACGCGUUAAAUCGACCGCCGUGGGGAGUACGGCCGCAAGGUUA
rnacentral:rRNA from 1 species